rnacentral:rRNA from 1 species
GGUUAAGUGACUAAGCGUACACGGUGGAUGCCUUGGCAGUCAGAGGCGAUGAAAGACGUAGUAACUUGCGAUAAGCCCAGAUUAGGUAGUAACAACCAUUUGAGUCUGGGAUUUCUGAAUGGGGAAACCCACGUGCAUAAGCACGUAUCCUUACCUGAAUACAUAGGGUAAGGAGGCGAACCGGGGAACUGAAACAUCUAAGUACCCCGAGGAAAAGAAAUCAACCGAGAUUCCGAAAGUAGCGGCGAGCGAAAUUGGACUAGCCCUUAAGCUUUACACGCGUUAGACGAACGGUCUGGAAAGUCCGACGAUACAGGGUGAUAGUCCCGUAGUUGACGACGUGUGUUCAGUGAAAUCGAGUAGGGCGGGACACGUGAUAUCCUGUCUGAAUAUGGGGGACCAUCCUCCAAGGCUAAAUACUACUGACUGACCGAUAGUGAACCAGUACCGUGAGGGAAAGGCGAAAAGAACCCCUGUGAGGGGAGUGAAAUAGAACCUGAAACCGUGUACGUACAAGCAGUAGGAGCACCUUCGUGGUGUGACUGCGUACCUUUUGUAUAAUGGGUCAGCGACUUAUAUUCAGUGGCAAGGUUAACCAUCUAGGGGAGCCGUAGGAAACCGAGUCUUAACUGGGCGUUCAGUCUCUGGAUAUAGACCCGAAACCAGGUGAUCUAGCCAUGGGCAGGUUGAAGGUUGAGUAACAUCAACUGGAGGACCGAACCGACUAAUGUUGAAAAAUUAGCGGAUGACUUGUGGCUAGGGGUGAAAGGCCAAUCAAACCUGGAGAUAGCUGGUUCUCCCCGAAAGCUAUUUAGGUAGCGCCUCGGACGAAUACUACUGGGGGUAGAGCACUGUUAAGGCUAGGGGUCAUCCCGACUUACCAACCCUUUGCAAACUCCGAAUACCAGUAAGUACUAUCCGGGAGACACACGGCGGGUGCUAACGUCCGUCGUGGAGAGGGAAACAACCCAGACCGCCAGCUAAGGUCCCAAAUUACUACUAAGUGGGAAACGAUGUGGGAAGGCUCAGACAGCCAGGAUGUUGGCUUAGAAGCAGCCAUCAUUUAAAGAAAGCGUAAUAGCUCACUGGUCGAGUCGGCCUGCGCGGAAGAUGUAACGGGGCUAAGUAGUAAACCGAAGCUGCGGCAAUGUGCUUUUGCACAUUGGGUAGGGGAGCGUUCUGUAAGCGGUUGAAGGUGUGUGGUAACGCAUGCUGGACGUAUCAGAAGUGCGAAUGCUGACAUGAGUAACGAUAAAGGGGUGAAAAACCUCCUCGCCGGAAGACCAAGGGUUCCUGUCCAACGUUAAUCGGGGCAGGGUAAGUCGACCCCUAAGGCGAGGCCGAAAGGCGUAGUCGAUGGGAAACGGGUUAAUAUUCCCGUACUUCUUACAAUUGCGAUGGGGGGACGGAGAAGGCUAGGUGGGCCUGGCGACGGUUGUCCAGGUUCAAGUGCGUAGGCUUAAGAGUUAGGUAAAUCCGGCUCUUUCUAAGGCUGAGACACGACGUCGAGCUACUACGGUAGUGAAGUCAUUGAUGCCAUGCUUCCAGGAAAAGCCUCUAAGCUUCAGAUUGUAAGGAAUCGUACCCCAAACCGACACAGGUGGUCGGGUAGAGAAUACCAAGGCGCUUGAGAGAACUCGGGUGAAGGAACUAGGCAAAAUGGUACCGUAACUUCGGGAGAAGGUACGCUCUUGAUGGUGAAGUCCCUUGCGGAUGGAGCUGACGAGAGUCGCAGAUACCAGGUGGCUGCAACUGUUUAUUAAAAACACAGCACUGUGCAAAAUCGUAAGAUGACGUAUACGGUGUGACGCCUGCCCGGUGCCGGAAGGUUAAUUGAUGGGGUUAGACUUCGGUCGAAGCUCUUGAUCGAAGCCCCGGUAAACGGCGGCCGUAACUAUAACGGUCCUAAGGUAGCGAAAUUCCUUGUCGGGUAAGUUCCGACCUGCACGAAUGGCGUAAUGAUGGCCACGCUGUCUCCACCCGAGACUCAGUGAAAUUGAAAUCGCUGUGAAGAUGCAGUGUACCCGCGGCUAGACGGAAAGACCCCGUGAACCUUUACUACAGCUUGGCACUGAACAUUGACCCUACAUGUGUAGGAUAGGUGGGAGGCUUUGAAGCACGUACGCCAGUAUGUGUGGAGCCGUCCUUGAAAUACCACCCUUGUAGUGUUGAUGUUCUAACGUCGACCCCUAAUCGGGGUUGCGGACAGUGCCUGGUGGGUAGUUUGACUGGGGCGGUCUCCUCCCAAAGAGUAACGGAGGAGCACGAAGGUGGGCUAAUCACGGUUGGACAUCGUGAGGUUAGUGCAAUGGCAUAAGCCCGCUUGACUGCGAGAAUGACAAUUCGAGCAGGUGCGAAAGCAGGUCAUAGUGAUCCGGUGGUUCUGAAUGGAAGGGCCAUCGCUCAACGGAUAAAAGGUACUCCGGGGAUAACAGGCUGAUACCGCCCAAGAGUUCAUAUCGACGGCGGUGUUUGGCACCUCGAUGUCGGCUCAUCACAUCCUGGGGCUGAAGUCGGUCCCAAGGGUAUGGCUGUUCGCCAUUUAAAGUGGUACGCGAGCUGGGUUUAGAACGUCGUGAGACAGUUCGGUCCCUAUCUGCCGUGGGCGUUGGAAGAUUGAAGGGGCUGCUCCUAGUACGAGAGGACCGGAGUGGACGAACCUCUGGUGUUCGGGUUGUGUCGCCAGACGCAUUGCCCGGUAGCUAAGUUCGGAAUCGAUAACCGCUGAAAGCAUCUAAGCGGGAAGCGAGCCCUGAGAUGAGUCUUCCCUGAUACUUUAAGUAUCCUAAAGGGUUGUCGGAGACUACGACGUUGAUAGGUCAGGUGUGUAAGUGCUGUGAGGCAUUGAGCUAACUGAUACUAAUUGCCCGUGAGGCUUAACCAU